GACGUAGGGCGCGAGCGUUGUCCGGAUUUAUUGGGCGUAAAGAGCUCGUAGGCGGCUUGUCGCGUCGACUGUGAAAUCCCGAGGCUCAACCUCGGGUCUGCAGUCGAUACGGGCAAACUAGAGUAUUGCAGGGGAGACUGGAAUUCCUGGUGUAGCGGUGAAAUGCGCAGAUAUCAGGAGGAACACCGGUGGCGAAGGCGGGUCUCUGGGCCACUACUGACGCUGAGAAGCGAAAGCAUGGGAGCGAACAGG
rnacentral:rRNA from 1 species